rnacentral:lncRNA from 1 species
CGCGCCCGGCGCCGCCGCCGGAGCCUCGGGGCGCGUGCGCGUGGCGGGGGCGGGGCGCACGUGCGUGUGUUUGUGUAUGAUCGGCCCGGCGGACGCGCGCGGGGUCUCCGGCCUCAGUCCAGGAACCUGGUGGUCCUCCCUGGGAAGCUGUCCUGGGCGCUGAGCUGGUGACGAGAACUGUCAGGAAGAGGACCCUGACCCCUUGAGCUCCUCUCCGCCUUCCUCAACCUUUUUCCAUCCUCCUCAUCCCCCCAGUACCCUUCUCCCUCCCCAAAUCUGCCCUCGGAAAAGUUAUGUCUAACUGGAGUGAAUUCGCCUGAGCCAGUGAGCUGACUUUGGGGCAAGAAGCGUCACGUGUCUUAAUUUUCCAAAUUAGAGAAAUCUGGCUCAGCUCCGGUUUGUCAGUGUUGGCGGGAAAUUCAUGUAGUCACGUUUUUUACUUUCCUUCUCCUUUCUCUCUGGGGUUGUGAAGUCCCAAAAAUUUGGGGAAGGAUUCGUUUUGUUUUGUUUCCCUCCUGUUUUGUUUUGUCUUUUAAAUUUUUUCCCUAUAGUCUUGAUGCCACUAGUCCAUAACCAUUCAGGGGGUAACCACUCAAGGACACAGCUCCAUAGCCGGCAAGCCUGCUGGACAGGAGGGGGAAAGGCAGUGUCUUACAACAGCAAGACCAAGAUUGAAAUUAAUGUCUCAAUAGAUAAGCCUGCUAAGAGUUUUAAAAAGAAAGAAUUCCUAUCUGUCACGUUUUACCAUGAAUGCAUCCAUGAAAAGGCAGGGAGGAGAGGCAGAAUCCUGAAAUCACAUUGCUUCGGGUAUCAACUCCUCCGUAACAAGUUAUGCUCAACUUAGUGGCUUACUGCUAGAAUGUGACUGAUUGUCUCGCCUGAUUUCUGUGGGUCAGAGAUUUGGAUUCAGUCCUGGCUUGGCGAUUGCUCAUGCAGUUACAAAUGUAUGUCAGAUGGAGCUACAGUUAUUGGAAGACUUGACUGGGGCCAGGGGAUCAAUUACCUCAGAGGCCCCGUUCCAUAGAUCACUCCAUGGAUGGCUGUUGGCAUGAAACCUAGGUACCUCUUCCUGAAGUUCUGUCCACAAACUAGGUAAGUGCCCUCAGAGCAUGACAGCCGACUUCUCUCAGAGCAAGAGAGAAGUUACAAUGACCUAGAUCUUUGAAGUUUCACCUGUUACCUCCACUUUGGUAACAUAGACAAGCCCUGGUUCAGUAUGGAAGAUUAUACAAGGGCAUGAAUACAGGGAAGAAAGGAUCAUUGGGGGCCAUCUUGGAGGUGACUAUCACACAUAUCAUCUUUGAAAUCACAUCUAUUUCUUAAUUUUGAAAAUUUUCAAACAAAGGAUCAUUGGGGGCCAUCUUGGAGG